rfam:Sorghum bicolor cultivar BTx623 chromosome 10, whole genome shotgun sequence.
CGGCUUGAUGAUGAAGAACUGGUAGAGUAUAUACUCACCGGACUAGGAGAAGACUACACUUCUCUAGUCACAACCCUAACUGCUAGGGUCGAGCCCAUCACAGUUGGGGAGUUGUACUCACAACUUCUUAACUUUGAGA